GUUUACUCUGCUCAGUACUGAACAUAUAUCCGCAGUGGAUAACAUGGGAGGUUCACCCUUAUGAGGAGGAGGCCCAUCUGAUGUGAGAUCGCAGACUGGAAGGCAAAUAAAGGGGCUGGAAAGCCGUGUCUGAACCUGCGCGUCUCAGCCUUACGAGCGCGCCCGCUCUUCUUCCUGUCUGCUACCUCCUUGCCAAGUCAGUAACUGCUCCCUGCUCCGACUGACGGUUUGAUGUACCAUGGAUGACAUUACCAAAAAAAAAA